rnacentral:rRNA from 1 species
UCUAAUACCGGAUACGACYGCCGACCGCAUGGUCUGGUGGUGGAAAGCUCCGGCGGUGCAGGAUGAGCCCGCGGCCUAUCAGCUUGUUGGUGGGGUGAUGGCCUACCAAGGCGACGACGGG